CCAGCAGCACCUCACAUUUGGGGGUGUCGGAUAAACUGAGAUGAUGAGGUACCGAAAUGCGCACUUGCUGCUGCACUGUUGAAAGAACUAAUCUUCUGUGUAGGUGUUGUAUUGAGAGAGUUAUCUCUGAGUGGAGUGUACAUAGUAUGAAAUCCGGGAGUUUUAGGAAUUAUGCAGUCUGUAUGCUUUAACACUUACAUAAUAAAGUUGCACGCUUUGUUAAGUCGUUAUGUCAUCAAUUUGAACUUUUAAAUAUUUAUUAUGUUGCCGUGUCAGCUUCUUGUAGGACAGUGGAUGUGAAAUGUAUUUCCUCACUUGGUACAUUGCUAUCAAUGCAUGUAGUGCUUUUUCAAUGAAGUGAACGCAUCUGUUGCUCUUAUUCUAGCAGUUUGUAUAUGUACAUUGUUAUAGAAAGCUUUACUGUCUCUCUGGAUUAUUGUCAGACUCCAGCACUGAAGUAAUUUGAUUUGCUACUUAAACGAUCAUUAAUGUUAACUGAUGACUCUCCAGAAUUUGCACUUCUGGGGUUCUGUUAGCAAAUAAAUUUUAGGGCAAUGCUCCUUGUUUCCCCUGCAGGGUUGUGAUGCGAUGAACAGGCACGAGCUAGUCCAUCUAUCCCUAGAGAUCUUUCUUGAGGAAUUCCCAUCCUUGCUCUUCCAUUAUUGAAAGAUUUUCUGGUAAUAGACGGUGCUGGUCGGUGAGUAUGGUAUGGCAACUAAUUGUUCUAUGUGAAUAUGCUGUUUGAACACGACCGCUUCUUGGCAAGUAACAUAUCAGUAGCUAGGAUGAUCAUCCUAUGUAUUACAUGGACUUAGGCCUCCUUUGGUUCAUAGGGUAGGAAAAUCGUAGGAAUAGGGAAGUCAUAGAAAAUGAGAUGACAUGUAUCUCACAUCCUAUGAGUAGGAAUAGGAAAGGAGAUGACCUUUGAUUCACAUCAUAGGAUUUUUUCCGUUGAGUCUAGGCUAAUGUUUAUUUUCCUAUGAAUUGUGGAGGAUAGGAAGAAUUCCUCCAUCGGAAUAUGAUUUCAUUCCUACAAACCAAAGGGCUCUAAAGGAAUUUUUCGUAUAGAAAUCCUAUCCUAUGAAAUUCCUACAAGAUUCCUCUAAACCAAAGGAGGCCUUAGAGGGACUAUGUCAAUACAUCCAGCGGCAGCUUUUGUAGUUUUUAUUGCAUGUAUAUAAUAU
rnacentral:lncRNA from 1 species